ACAAUUGAAAUUCUUCUUCCGUGGACAGGAACCCAUGAUGGAGCAAAACACAAGUUUUCUUACGAGCUUGUUGGACGUGCUUAUGGUUUAUCUCAUUUCUAUGUCUCAGAGAAAUGCUCGUUCAGCUAACAAUUUGACCUCUUUGAAAGCAUUUGUCCUGUGUCUCAAUGGUUUGCCAAUGCCUCCUGCUGGCCACUGGGUGCCACCCUUUGUCUAGGUAAAGAACAGCUUUGCUGCACAUGCACUCAGUUUUAAGUGGCUCUGGCAAAGACAUGCAUGCCUGAUAUAUAGCUUUGCAUAUUUAAGAAGAGAUACAAGUGUAGCUUCCACUCAAGGGAAAAAUCUCAUCUGCAGACAGGCUUUCGUGUCAGGGACACCUUGACGAAGACUGCGUGACUGAGCUUUCCGUGUUUCACAACCAGAGCAGGGAGAGCAUAUCGGAAUUAAUAUCACAGGCAAAAUAGACUCAAACUAAAAACGUCUGGAUGAACAACGGAUGUCAUGCACUGGCUUAACUCCUUGCUUUGAACUGUUCUGACUGGGAAGAGAAAACUGUCAGUGCAUCACUCAGCCAGGCUAUAAAAUAAGCGUGGGGGGAUUUUCGCAAACUUGUGAAGAAGUGAAUCUGUUCCUGUCCCAUUGGAAUAUACAUGGCAAAAGCUGAGCUGACUACCUGUAGAGGAAUUGUACCAAUGUGUUAGCGGUGGUAUUCUAAGCUGGUAGACGAGACUUGCAACAUGAGGUGGACUCCGGCCUUAAAGUGAAUCUGAAAAUUGUCCUUUGAAUUUUUUUUUUAUUUAUUUUACUGUGUAGAAUGAAGACUUGGGAUAAAAUCUUUUCACAUAACUGUAGCAGAAAGAGACUUUCAAAAUACGCGUUCUACUUAAAAUUUAUAAAUUUGGGGGUAAAGACUG